CUGCCAUUAGUUGCCAUCAUUAAGUUGGGCACUCUAGUGGGACUGCCGGUGAUAAGCCGGAGGAAGGUGGGGAUGACGUCAAGUCAUCAUGGCCCUUACGGGCUGGGCUACACACGUGCUACAAUGGCGGUGACAGUGGCCAGCCACUCCGCGAGGAGGAGCUAAUCCCAAAAAGCCGUCUCAGUUCGGAUUGUUCUCUGCAACUCGAGAGCAUGAAGUCGGAAUCGCUAGUAAUCGUGGAUCAGCAUGCCACGGUGAAUACGUUCCCGGGCCUUGUACACACCGCCCGUCACACCAUGGGAGUUGGUUUUACCCGAAGACGGUGCGCUAACCAGCAAUGGAGGCAGCCGGCCACGGUAGGGUCAGCGACUGGGGUG
rnacentral:rRNA from 1 species